rnacentral:lncRNA from 1 species
AAGUUGGUCCGAGGAGAAGCUAUAAUUAUAAAUUGCAUGUUACACUUGCCUCAUUUUAUCUAUCGAGCCUCGGAUUCAGUCGCUUCGUUCCUAUCCGAAUCCAAGAUCCUGAAUCCGAGGCUCGUGACCUUAGUCGAAGAGGAAGUACGGCCCAUUUGGGAGGAGGAAGGGUUCGUGGGACGGUGAUGCAAGCCUUGGUGUCCAGAAAAGAUGGGGCCCCAACUCCCCACCUUAGGAUCACAGCAUUGUCGAGGAGUGGCAGUUCUCGUCGAUCGUUCGGGACGGUCCAAGAGACCGGCCGUCGGCUAACAGCGUUCGCUGCGUCCAUUGGCCAGCCAUUUUUGUUUCACCACUGUAGGUUGGAGUCAGACGAGACGUUUAAGCCAUCCGCUCUGAAGCUGGUCCGAGGAGAAGCUAUAAUUAUAAAUUGCAUGUUACACUUACCUCAUUUUACCUAUCGAGCCUCGGAUUCAGUGGCUUCGUUCCUAUCCGGAUCCAAGACCCUGAAUCCGAGGCUCGUGACCUUAGUCGAAGAGGAAGUACGGCCCAUUGGGGAGGAGGAAGGGUUCGUGGGCCGGUUCAUGGACAUAUUGCACCACUACUCGGCCCUUUAUGAUUCACUCGAGGCAGGGUUCCCGCUCCAAUGCGGGGCUCGGGCUUUGGUGGAGCGAGUGUUCCUUGGGCCUCGGAUAGCCGGGUCAUUAUUUCGGAUAUACCGAACCUGGGGAGAGGAUGAGAGGUGCUCCUGGGGGGAGUGGUUGAGUGCGGUGGGGUAUCGUGAGAGUAAUAUAAGCUUUGCAAAUCAUUGUCAAGCAAAGUUGUUGUUGGGGCUAUUCAAUGAUGGGUAUAGGGUGGAGGAGAUUGGCACCAAUAAACUCGUUUUGGGUUGGAAGUCCCGGCGCCUACUCUCUGCUUCUAUUUGGACCACUCCAGAUAGUGACUUGUAAUAAAUAAACUAUAUAUAAUUCAUGCAAGUGUGCAACCCCACCCCAAGUUACUAUCUGCUGUGUGUUGUUAUAGUCCUUCUCUGUGUUAUAUAUUUCGUAUCGAAACUAGUUUUCGUGAGGCUUUUCAUCGUUUCCUAUGCCAAGAAUCUACUAUGUGUGUGUUUUGGUCCUUUUCCUGUGAUAUUUGGGUUGAAACUAGUUCUUAGUUGUUUGUGAGGCCUUUCUUCGAUCCCUACGAUAAGUUGUUUCCAAUGGAGUGGCUGAGUGAUGAAAGGAAGCAAAGUUCUUGCUCUAUUAAAUAUGACGUCAUGUACUAUUUAUCUUCCAAGCUUAGAUUGACCAAUAUGUGAAAUUGUUCAGUUUUCUUGAAACUAAAGCUUCCGAC